AUCGUUUGAUCCUGGCUCCUUCUUCACGCUGGCGGCGUGCUUAACACAUGCAAGUCGCCCUCUGAAGCCCUGCUUGCAGGGUGGAUUAGUGGCGAACGGGUGAGUAACACGUGAGUAACCUGCCCCUGCCUCUGGGAUAAGCCCGGGAAACUGGGUCUCCUACCGGAUAUGACUUCCUACUGCAUGGUGGGUUGUUGAAAGAUUUAUCGGUGGGGGAUGGACUCGCGGCCUAUCAGCUUGUUGGUGAGGUAAUGGCUCACCAAGGCGACGACGGGUAGCCGGCCUGAGAGGGUGACCGGCCACACUGGGACUGAGACACGGCCCAGACUCCUACGGGAGGCAGCAGUGGGGAAUAUUGCACAAUGGGCGGAAGCCUGAUGCAGCGACGCCGCGUGAGGGAUGACGGCCUUCGGGUUGUAAACCUCUUUCAGUAGGGAAGAAGCGAAAGUGACGGUACCUGCAGAAGAAGCGCCGGCUAACUACGUGCCAGCAGCAGCGGUAAUAC
rnacentral:rRNA from 1 species